AAAAUAAGAACACAUCUAAGUAAUUGUUGAGAGCAAAUUGUAAAUAGAUAGCACUAAACUGGAAAUAUAUCAACGGAAGGAAUCUAAACCGUAAGAAUAGUAAUAGUAAUCCAUAUUAAAGUAGAGGGGACCACCUAGGAGGUACCCUAAUAAUUAUUUUUUCCGCUUUAACAUGUUAUCAGAGCAUUGUGUUGAUCAACUCCUAGCACGGACCAGAUCUGAUCUAGUAUAUUCCUCUCCCUUUGCGCAGUACUCUUGUUCCUUUCUUUCUUAGCUCACUUUCCAUCAUUCCUGCUGCUUUUCUUCCUCAUAGCUCACAGUUUGUCAUCAGUGACCCAAAACUCUUCUGAUUUCUUCAGAUUUGCCAUCUCUGCAGAUCAGAUUUGCUGCAAUUGGCUACCACAUUUCUACAUCAAGAUUGUUGAAAGGGGAAGAGAAAAAAUCUUCACAAACUGAUGGAGAGGAAAAGACAGUCAGUACAGCGAUGUGGAAGGCACGGAGGGUGUUCAUAACAUCAUGUUCGCAGAUGACACCGCCCUCAAACAUGUAUCAAAACAGAAGGCACUGAUCAAGAAUGAACUCCAAUGAGAACGAAGCAGAGAAGGAAGAGAGAAGGCUCAAGUCUCAGAUACCAGUCAGAUUUGAGAAAUACUAAAUUU